rnacentral:rRNA from 1 species
UACGUAGGGUGCGAGCGUUAAUCGGAAUUAUUGGGCGUAAAGCGUGCGCAGGCGGUUCUAUAAGACAGAUGUGAAAUCCCCGGGCUUAACCUGGGAACUGCGUUUGUGACUGUAGGACUUGAGUGUGGCAGAGGGGGGUGGAAUUCCACGUGUAGCAGUGAAAUGCGUAGAUAUGUGGAGGAACAUCGAUGGCGAAGGCAGCCCCCUGGGUUAACACUGACGCUCAUGCACGAAAGCGUGGGGAGCAAACAGG